rnacentral:lncRNA from 1 species
AUUCCAUCCUACUGCAUCUUCAAAUGUAUAAGAAUUGGUGCUUCAAUCUACUCCACUGCAAUAUCAAGGAGAUAGGACUUACAAUCUUCAACCUAUUCCACUGCUGACCAGGGAGAUAUGAUUACUGGCUUCAAUGUACUCCACUGUAACCACAGGGAGGUAAAAUCCGCCAUAUUCGAUCUGCUCCACUACUGCUUAGGGAGAUAAGAUCUGAAAUCUUCAAUCUAUUCCACUGUUGUCCAGGGAAGUAGAAUUACCGGCUUCAAUGUACUCCACUAUAAUCAUAGAGAGGUUAAAUCUACCAUCUUCGAUCUGCUCCACUACUGCUUAGGGAGAUAAGAUCUGAAAUCUUCAAUCUAUUCCACUGUUGUCCAGGGAAGUAGAAUUACUGGCUUCACUGUACUCCACUAUAACCACAGGGAGGUAAAAUCCGUCAUCGUCGAUCUGCUCCACUACUGCUUAGGGAGAUAAGACCUGAAAUCUUCAAUCUAUUCCACUGUUGUCCAGGGAAGUAGAAUUACUGGCUUUAAUGUACUCCACUGUAACCACAGGGAGGUAAAAUCUGUCAUCUUCGAUCUGCUCCACUACUGCUUAGGGAGAUAAGAUCUGAAAUCUUCAAUCUAUUCCACUGUUGUUCAGGGAAGUAGAAUUACUAGCUUCAAUGUACUCCACUGUAACCACAGGGAGGUAAAAUCCGCCAUCUUCGAUCUGCUCCACUACUGCUUAGGGAGA